rnacentral:lncRNA from 1 species
UGAUUUCUUGCAUGACCUUUUAAAUUCCUUCCUCAAAUUAUAGACUAAGACGAAUCCAACCUUAAUAAAGCCUGCCAUAUUAUGUAUACCCAAUUAUGACCCAAAUAAAGAAAAGUCCAAUUAUGAUUUGAUGCAUAACAAUAUAUCUUCAGUCUAUUAAAACAUAUAUUAAAAUACAAAAUGUUGAUUAUGCACAAGUUUCAAAAAAUUAUCGAGACAUGUAUCAUAUACAACAUGAAUUGUGUCGUUUUAAAAAGUACCACAAAUAAACUAAUUGAAUAAACUAUAGCAACUUACUUAAAUACGUGUUUAGUAACCUCGUAUCACAUAAGAAUUCAUGUUAAAACUUUAAUAAUAUAUUUUAUUCAAUUCAUACAUUUUUAUCAUGAUAAACAUCAUUAACAAAAGUAUUAAAAUAGGCCUUCUUAAAAAAUUUAUUAAAAUAGGUUAAUUAUAAACGAGUAAUAAAUUAUUUAAUGAAUCCAAAAAAUAAAUAAAUAAAUUUAUUCAUAGAGAAUCAUAUCAUUGGUAUAAUAAACUUUCAUGUAGUAUGUUCUUAUAAAUAUUUAUGAAUAAGUAUAAUCUAUCUAUGUAUCGUUUUUAUUAAAAUAUGAGUUUUGGUAUAGUUUUUCCAUAUUUUUGUAUUUUUUUUAAUAAUAUUUUUUAUGUGAUGAUUGAAGAUUAUUGUUACUUGAGGUGUCAGUCUAACUGAAAUGUCAAGUUGCAUAGUUAUAUCUAACAUAAAAACUUAAAAAAAAUAAAAAUUGAAUAAAUUAUUUAAAACACUUCAUUUAGAUUGUUAUACAUUCCACGUAAAAAAAACAUUUCAUAAUUAUAAAUAAAUAUAAAUUUUAUUUUAUAAAUUAACAAUAUAAAAUUAAAUUUAUAAUAUAAUAUCAAAGUUAUUUAAAAAAAUAUAUAAUACAAAGUUUAUUAAACUUAACAAUUCACUUAUUAUUACCUCAUAAAUAUUUUCUAGCAACUAAACAAGUUGUUUUGUUCACUAUUUACUAAGUCAGUUGGAAUUAAUACUACAUAUAAAAUAUUUGAUUAUAUAUACAUAAUGAAUUUAAAAUUUAUAUGCUAAAAUUUGGUUGAAAUUUGAAUAUUUUUCUUGGAAAACAACCUAAAAGUUUUAGGAGGUGAAAACUGAAAGAUAAAGGAGGAAAAAAUUAGAAAAUAAUAGGAAUAUGGAAGAGGUGCUAGAGAUUACGCGGUGAGGUGGGGCCAUAUGUCGUAGAAGAAAAGCUACAAAGCUCCAAAUCAUAAAUCACGCGAGAUGAUGAUCCAACGUGAAUACACAUAUGUGACACACGUGUCCCUUCAUCCACUGUCCGAUUUCUGCAGCAAAAGUCAAAUUAACGCGCCGAUUCCAUGCAACACCAUCGACGCCGUGGGCCCCAACCGACUAGCCCACACUUCGCUCCAAAACCAGUGUCGUAAGCAGUGACAAAAUCACCACGUGUGGGCUCUCGACACGCGCGCACCACAGUUGAUAGCACGACACGUGUCCGCUUACCCAUCACCCACCUUCUUUAUUUAAAAAAAACUGCCAUUGAAAUAGACAUUAAAUAAAGUAUAAAAGGAACACCAGAAAAUAAAAGGAAAUGUAAAAGGAAUCAGAACACAGUACAAAAUAAAAAGAAAUACACAUUUCACAACUUUUUAAAAAUAUAAGUAGAUAAUGACGGCCCUUUUCACCUUAACCUUAACUGUUAACUUAUGUAAUAUUAGAUUUGAAUUUUAAAAUUGUCACCUCACCUAACGAUGGAGCAUUGAUUUGAAAUUAGAUUAAACAAAUAAUGGCAUGUAUAAUUAAAGACAAAAAUAAAUGCCUUUUCUUCCUAAUUCCUUUCUUUCCCACGCUCUGCUCCAUGAGGCAACCACGUAAUGCAUAUGGUAAGAAAUAAAAAAGGACAAAGGUCUUAUGUAAUAGAAUAUAAUAAAAAGAAAAAAAGUAGAAAAAAAAAAGUAGAUGGAAAAUCAAAGGCCCACUGCCUAAACAUUAUCGCCCAUGUGUGUUCUAGAAACUGCUGGCUCCUGCCGCCACGUGUUCCCAAAUCGCCUAUAAAUAAACACCUCUCCCUUAUGAAAUAAGUUUCAAGCGCCGCCACCAUAGUUGGUCUUAGUCUUGAAGUAGGGAGGGAUAUAGGGAGAACCAGAGAUCAAUCUCAGGGUAGAAAUAAUAUUCUUAGAGCAAAAACAUGGCAUCAGAGCUUCAACUGCCCCCAGGCUUCAGAUUCCAUCCAACUGACGAGGAGCUCGUGAUGCACUAUCUCUGCCGCAAAUGCGCCUCGCAGCCCAUCGCCGUUCCCAUCAUCGCCGAAAUCGACCUCUACAAAUACGACCCUUGGGACCUUCCCGGUAAUUAAUGCAGUCUUCUUCAUUUCAAUCCAGUUUUUUUAUAUAUAUAUAUAAUUUUUAAAUCAACUAACUAUUAUCAUUUGAAAUGCAACUUUUUAAUUUCCAGGAUUGGCUUCUUACGGAGAGAAGGAGUGGUACUUCUUUUCACCGCGGGACCGGAAGUACCCGAACGGUUCGAGGCCGAACCGGGCGGCGGGAAGCGGUUACUGGAAGGCAACCGGGGCGGAUAAGCCAAUUGGUCAGCCGAAAGCGGUUGGGAUAAAGAAAGCGUUGGUGUUUUACGCUGGGAAAGCUCCGAAAGGGGACAAAAGCAAUUGGAUCAUGCACGAGUAUCGUCUGGCUGAUGUAGAUCGCUCCGUUCGCAAAAAGAACAGCCUAAGGGUAUAUACAUCGCUUCCUAGUUCAAGAGUAAUUUUAUUAAAUUACGAGUUUAGCCCUUGGAGGGUCCCACUGGCUUUUCAUGAAGCUGAGGAUGAUAAUGAUAAUAAUAAUUCUCCCGGAUAAGUCCAUGAUUUUGCUGGAAACCAUGCAAAAUGUAUGGUCCUAACAUGUUAUCCCACCUUUAUCAUGUGAUCACAACCACGCGGAACCUUCACUAGUUGAAGACUUACCCCCGUAUCUGCUGUGGGCUGAUUUAUUUGGGCCCAAAACUUAACAUCACAUCCAAACCAACUAAACCCCCUACCCUAAUCAAACAAUAAUUGCCGUAAAAAAAAAAAAUCUUCUCCAAAUCCCAAUUAUCCCUUUCCCUUUAUAGAAAUUAUCCCUUUCUUAACUCUCUCACAUGCAUCAUCCCAUUCAACAAUUAAAUUUACAUUCAUUUUAAUUAAUAAAUAAAUCAUGAAAAAUUAAUCUAACCGUUUUCCUUCUGCAGUUGGAUGAUUGGGUGCUGUGCCGUAUUUACAACAAGAAGGGCACGAUCGAGAAAUUACAACCGAGCACCGACGUAGUUGUGAGCCGGAAAAUCGAAUCGCCGGAGAUCGAAGAGAAGAAGCCGGAGAUUCUGAAAGGCGGAGGAGGUCUUCCGCCGGCGAUGACGGAUUACAUGUACUUCGACCCGUCGGAUUCAAUCCCGAAGCUGCACACGGACUCGAGCUGUUCGGAGCAGGUGGUUUCGCCGGAAUUCGCGAGCGAGGUGCAGAGCGAGCCAAAGUGGAACGAGUGGGAGAAGAGCCUGGAGUUUCCGUAUUACAUGGAUACCAGUCUGAGCAACGGCUUCAGCCAAUUCUCGAGCAAUAACAACAACAACAUUCAGAUGUCGCCGCUUCAGGACAUGUUCAUGUACUGGCCAAAGCCCUUUUGAUUUUCACACCCCCACAACAGAUUCCUACGUCGCCCACGGCCACACACAGCACCACGCAUUCGCAUUGCACGGCAGCACGAGACUGAAGGUCCAUGAGUGUGCCUGUGCGAUCAC